rfam:Xenopus tropicalis strain Nigerian Chr03_contig_3577, whole genome shotgun sequence.
GGCGCUGUGGCUUAGUUUGUUAAAGUGCCUAUCUAGUAAACAGGAGAUCCUGAGUUCAACUUUCAGCAAUGCCU